rnacentral:rRNA from 1 species
UACAGAGGGUGCGAGCGUUGUUCGGAUUCAUUGGGCGUAAAGGGUGCGUAGGCGGCGCGGUAAGUCGGGUGUGAAAUCUCGGGGCUUAACUCCGAAACUGCAUUCGAUACUGCCGUGCUUGAGGACUGGAGAGGAGACUGGAAUUUACGGUGUAGCGGUGAAAUGCGUAGAUAUCGUAAGGAAGACCAGUGGCGAAGGCGGGUCUCUGGACAGUUCCUGACGCUGAGGCACGAAGGUCAGGGGAGCAAACGGG